GGUCGCAUGGUGUAGUUGGUUAUCACGUCAGCUUAACAACAUUCAUAUUCGAGCCCUUAGGUAUCGAUGUUAACAAGUUCCGCUGAAGGUCCUCAGUUCAAUCCUGAGUGCGAUCA